rnacentral:rRNA from 1 species
UACGUAGGGAGCAAGCGUUGUCCGGAAUCAUUGGGCGUAAAGCGCGCGUAGGCGGCCCCGUAAGUCCGCUGUGAAAGUCAAAGGCUCAACCUUUGAAAGCCGGUGGAUACUGUGGGGCUAGAGUCCGGAAGAGGCGAGUGGAAUUCCUGGUGUAGCGGUGGAAUGCGCAGAUAUCGGGAGGAACACCAGUGGCGAAGGCGACUUCCUGGCCUGUUCUUGACGCUGAGGCGCGAAAGCUAGUGUAGCAAACGGG